UACGUAGGCAGCAAGCGUUGUUCGGAGUUACUGGGCGUAAAGGGUGUGUAGGCGGUUGCUUAAGUUUGGUGUGAAAUCUCCCGGCUCAACUGGGAGGGUGCGCCGAAUACUGAGUGACUCGAGUGCGGGAGAGGGAAAGUGGAAUUCCAGGUGUAGCGGUGAAAUGCGUAGAUAUCUGGAGGAACACCGGUGGUGUAGACGGCUUUCUGGACCGGUAACUGACGCUGAGACACGAAAGCGUGGGUAGCAAACAGGA
rnacentral:rRNA from 1 species